rnacentral:rRNA from 1 species
ACACUCCUGCGGGAGGCAGCAGUGAGGAAUAUUGGACAAUGGGUGGAAGCCUGAUCCAGCCAUCCCGCGUGCAGGAAGACGGCCCUAUGGGUUGUAAACUGCUUUUAUCUGGGGAUAAACCUACUUACGUGUAAGUAGCUGAAGGUACCAGAAGAAUAAGCACCGGCUAACUCCGUGCCAGCAGCCGCGGUAAUACGGAGGGUGCAAGCGUUAUCCGGAUUUAUUGGGUUUAAAGGGUCCGUAGGCGGACUGAUAAGUCAGUGGUGAAAUCCGACAGCUUAACUGUCGAACUGCCAUUGAUACUGUUAGUCUUGAGUAAGGUUGAAGUGGCUGGAAUAAGUAGUGUAGCGGUGAAAUGCAUAGAUAUUACUUAGAACACCAAUUGCGAAGGCAGGUCACUAAGUCUUAACUGACGCUGAUGGACGAAAGCGUGGGGAGCGAACAGGAUUAGAAACCCUGGUAGUCCCAUGAU